AAACGCAGUUCAAUACAUGAUAAUGUUAUGUAGUAAUUACUGUAUUUAUGAAUUUAGCACCAAAACAUCGCAAUGUAUUGAAAACAUUGUCGCACCUCAGGUUAGCUUCACCUUGUAAAGACACCAAGCCACACACAGGAAGUAGUCUUUUGUAGUUUAUUUAGGAAAUAGGCAAAGGAUAGUUCAUAAAAGGGUAAAAGAUCAGUUCCAAAAGAUAGAUACAAAACCAAGGCUGUAAGCAAUAGGUCCAUAGGAACAUAGAGCAUAAAACAAGGUCCUUUUCAUGGAAGCCAAAAGUCCCAGCAAACAGAAUAUAUCCACAAGAUAUUACAGGAAGGCAAACUUGGCACAGGAAAGCAGUCUUGCUUCUAGAUCAAGCGAUGGAGUUGCAUUGACAAAGAGCUCUCUGCGAGCAGACUAUUUUAAAAGCAUGACAUAAAGGCGUUCCGUUGCCCUCUCAUUUAUUGGCUAUGCGAAGGCUUCUCCGCAACCCUCUAAAUUCUAGUCUCGUAGCACGUUUGAGAUUUUCAGAUUCAAGGCCACUGAGCUCCUUAUCAGGCGGCAAAACGGUAUCCUCCUUUUCCACUCCCUGCACCUGAAAUUCCUCAUUAGAAACAACAUCAUGAUUUAUUCCCAUGGGAACAACUCCCUGCUCUUCAUUUCCCACAGAUGGAAUGCGCCUAUAAUUCCUAGCAUCAGAGUCAUCCUCAAAUUCAUCCUGAAUCCUAUCAUUAUGCACAUAUAACUCAGAAUCUUCAUCAGAGUCAUGCAAAGGCACAUCAGAAUCACACAAAGGCAAAGGCUGAGCCACAACAAACAUUGACUACAAAAUACAUUGGCUACUAACAAAUUGACAACAAAUAAAGAUAGAAUUGCAUAAAAUGAACUUACAGUAACAACACUGCCGAAAAAUAAAUACGUAAAAAGUUCAGUCCUUGCUGCCUAGAGAAAUAGCUGUGGAUUUGGGCAGGAGGCAGACUGCGUUGGAUAAUCCAGAACAUUGGAUAAGCAAAUGUUGGAUAAGUGAGACUCUACUGUAGUAUCCAUCUAUUCUGCUUUAGUCUGGAAUAUUGUGUCUCGUUAUGGGCACCUCAGAUCAAGAAUGAUAUUGACAAGCUGGAGCAAGUGCAGAGAAGGGCGACCAAGAUGAUCAAAGUUCUGGAAACUUAGCCUUAUUGGGAAAAAUAGAAGAAGAUGGGAAUGUUUUACUGAGGAAAGAGGAAGCAGAGAGGUGAUGUGAUAGCCAUGAAGUAUAGGAAGGACUACUGUCAUGUUGCUUGUUUCUACUGCUCCUGGAGAUAAAUAAUGAUCCAAUAGAUUCAAAUUAAAAGAAAAGAGAUUUUCACUAAAUAUUAGGUAUCCCUUCCUGACACUAAGGAUGGUAUCCCACGCAGGGAGACUUCCCUCUUGUGUCUGUCAUGCUUUGUUAGGGAAGUAUUUUAAAAGUGUGAAGAAAUGGGGGAGGAGAUUGACAGAACUUGUCUUCUGAAUAAUUAUGAAACAGGAGAAAAUAUCGAAAACCACAUGGGAUGGGAUCUGUCAGAUUUGCUUACAUUGAAUCAAUUUGGUGACAUGGGGGAAUGGGCGUUUGUAACAGAUCUUGCCUAACUUACAGGGUUGGUAAGUGGCCUGCCUUGCAGGGUGGAUGAACGGCCAUUUGCAGGCCUUGCUUGCAAAAGUUAAGCAGAGCAAGGGGGAGGAGUGAUCAGGAAGCCAUUACUGUAAGUGCAGUCUGAUUGGCUGAUGCAAAUGGAGAGAGUUGCUUAGCAACUUGAGAGGGGCAGAGCCAAAGUGACAGUUGGAGCUAUGCAGCCAAAUAAUUCUUUCCGUUAGUCAGUUGGUUAGUUGGAGUUUGAAGUCUGGAGAUAGAUAAGUUUGGGAACUGUGUUUUUAAAAAGAAACCUCUUUGAGGAAUAUAGUUAAGAGCCUUCAGGGAAGUAAGGCUGAGUACUAUAGUUUAGAGUGCUGAUGUUAAAUACCAGGAGAAGUGGAUUUAAAGGUGUAAAUUGUCCUGUUUGUAUUUCCUGUGUGAAGGAACAUAUUUCCACAGAAUUCAAGUUAUAAAACCAUCCUUUGUAAGAUAAAAGUAAGGUAAAGGUAAAGGUUUUCCCCUGACGUUAAGUCCAGUCAUGUCUGACUCUGGUGGUUGGUGCACAUCUCCAUUUCUAUGCUGAAGAGCCGGCAUUGUCUGUAGACACCUCCAAGGUCAUGUGGCCAGCAUGACUUCAUGGAGCGCCGUUACCUUCCCGCCGGAGCGGUACCUAUUGAUCUACUCACAUUUGCAUGUUUUCGAACUGCUAGGUUGGCAGAAGCUGGAGCUAACAGCGGGCGCUCACUCCGCUCCUGGGAUUUGAACCUGGGACCUUUCGGUCUGCAAGUUCAGCAGCUCAGUGCUUUAACACACUGAGCCACCAGAGAAAAGACUAACUUGAUAUUGAAACUUCUGCGCAUCUUUACUGUUUAAGAAUAAAUAAACAACAACUUCUUGUUUUUAUCACAUAAAGUAUCUCAUGUGACUCUCUCUCAAUAUCCUAACACAGAACAGGCUCCUGAAUAUAACAUUGAUGGCAGCAUUUGUAGAGGUAGUGAGUUCAAAUCAUCCAUAUUUUGGUGGUAGCUGAAGCCAAAGCCUCUGAAAUUUUGGUAAUUUUGAAAAAUCUUCCAUAGCGUCCUAUGGAUGGUGUUCUACAAAGCAGUGAUCCAAAAUGGAGCCACCUGAUCCUUGUACAGUAUUUUUUUUAAUUAAAUGUAUUCAGUAGAAAUUGCACUGCUUCAGGAGAUUGCUGCUUUGCUUUCACUUGAUUCUAACCUUUCAAAAUUGUGCUUUUUCCUGCUUUUCCUUUUUCAAAGAAGUUGAGUUAGUGAUCCAUUGGGAAGAAGAGCAGAAGAGCCCAUGGGGAGAAAUGAGGUCUGUCUUAACUGCACUGGUUCAUGUGAUGCAUCUGACAACAGAUAAGUUUGGGAGAAAAGGUGACCUACCAGACUUUCAAUGCCAGGGCAACAUAGUUACAUUUAUAUAGUCUUGCAAUUACAACUGGUCCAUAAGACUGAUGUAGCUCUCAGUGAAAAUGAGUCUGACACAACAACAACAACAACAACAACAACAACAACAACAACAACAACAACAACACAGGCCAUUUAUAAAAACAGAAGAACCAAUCCACAUGUCAUACCCCAGCCACCUUUGGCUUCUGAACCUGAUCCAGAAAUGAACUUUGACCAGGAUGAAGCUUACUCUGACCUUUUGCCCAGUUCUCCCAGCUCCUUUCAGUUACAGCUGCCGGCUGUUGAUAGUUCAGAUGCUUCCUUAAUUGGGAGAGAUACUGGAGAUGUUACUCCCCUGGCUGAACCAGAUGUCUAGAGUUCCCCAGAGAACGUGCCCUUCAACCGAAAGGAGUUUUUGCAUCACCAGAGAUCAGAAAAACAAGGGCUUAGGAGGAGUAACCGCUUGGUAUCUCGAGGGGAUUGUGGAUAAAAAGAUUCCCUUGGGAACCUUUGGGGAGUUUGGUCUCCCUUCGUUGGGAUCUGAUCUUCGUUCCAUAAAAGUGCCUUGCACUGCAGGCAAUUUGCAGUGUCAACAUAGCGUUUUCCUGAGAGCACUUCACCGACUCCAGUUCCCUGAUUUCACCAAGCCAAGCCUCCUGUUUCUGGCGGCCAAGCUGAGCCGCAACUCCCGAUUUAAACCAGAGUAAAUUCACUUCCUUGCCUUGUUCCUGAAUCAAGUUUGAUCUUCGCUUCGUCUUGUUCCUGCUUUGAUAUCCACAAUCUCCUAGUGACUUUGGACCUUGUUAUUCACCCUUGCUUCCUUGUUGUUCCCCGCUCAAACUUCCCAACAGUUUGAGCGUGUUUCGGUUUUGGACUUUGGACAGUAAUAUUGGACAUUUUCCUUCAUCUUUUUGGACUUAUUCAUACCUUUCCACAAAGGACUAUUUCCCACUCAUCCCUUCUGCUUAUGCAUUCCUGAAUUUAUAUUUGCUUUAAUAAAGAUAUUAUAUGAUUA